GUACGGUUGUAACCUCCAUGUGGUUUUUUAAUUUGCUUUUUUACCCAAUAAUAUAUUUUGAACAUCAUUUUAAGUUAAUACACUUUUGGACUUCCCUGGCUUUUGGUCCACUGGCUAAAGUUAAUACACUUUUGGUCCACUGGCUAAGACUCCAUGCUCCCGAUGCAGGGGGCCUGGGUUUGAUCCCUGGCCUGAGAACUAGAUCCCAUGUACCACAACUAAGGCCCAGCACAGCCAGACGAAUAAAUAUUUAAAAAACAAAGUCAAUACAUUUUCAUCUACAGCAUCAUUUUAAGUGAAAGAAUAGAAUUCCAUUGUAGGGAUAUAACAUAAUUUGUUUAAAGAAUCAUCUCAUUACCACGCAAGACUUUGGAAUCUGCUGCUACAGUCUGACAUAGUGGUUGGAGAAUUCUGUUUCAGAUGGAUGUUUUGGCUCUCUCAGCUCCAUAGGCCCAUGCCACGAACCAAGGACAACAAGCCCAGGAAGAAAAAAAGAUCUACUGAACAGUUAUCAUGCUACUGACUCUAUUUCACUCUUCUCUUCUGGGCACCGAAGAAUGUUCUCAUUAUUCUCUGUCUUCCGUGGCAUAUAAGAGUUUCUAGCUGAGUUGCUCCACCAUUAAUUGUAUGUCUUCUUAACUUGGGAAAUUCUUCAGUGAGUGAACAGUCAUCCAUCUUCCUAUGGCUUACUUGAAUCAGAGGGACUUGCAGGAUGCUAACACAGUGCUGGGUUUCAGGAAAAAACCAUCUUUGCGAAUAAAUAAAGCAAGAACUUAACAGAACAUUAACUCCCUCUUUGCGAUGUGCCCAUGAGUCCCUCUAAGAAUGUGAGGUUAAGUAUGUAUAUCAAGAUCCCUCUUUAGAGGUGAUCCAUGCGAGUUGUUACCGCGAGCCUCAUUUCAUUUGGUGGAGCAGCUGCCAGCCAGCCAAGCAAGGCCAUGGUCAAACCAUGGGAGCCUUUCUCUUCUGGUCAUCAGUUUUUGUUUUUUUUUUUAAGCCAAAGUCUCUUCUAGGAGAGAGACUUCUGCUAUUUGCCUUUAUCUUUAAUUUAGAAAUAUAUAUUAAGUAUAUUCCUCCUUUCUCCAUACAUUUGAUACGAGGAGAUCUGCUAUUGGCUCUCCAGCCUUUAGUUCUCUUCCUUCAUAAUAACUUCCUGUUUAAGAAAACCACAACUUGGACCAUUCUCAGCCAUGCAGAUUUGAUGUGAGGGGCUGUAUAGCCACCUAUGAUUAGAACCUGAUUUCCCUUCCCCUGAACACAGUAAUUGGUUCAAAGGUCGUCACAGGACUUAAGUAAGUCCAAUCAGAGGUCCUUUGAUAGGGAUUCUGGGACACAGCAUCCUUUCUCUUCCGUCUGUGUUAAUGAGGAAGCAUGUUCCUUUCCCCCAGGAGCUGCUGUUGUGUAUGACUCUGUGAUGCCAGGCUUCUCCGUCCAUGGGAUUUCCCAGGCAAGAGUACUGCACUGGGUUGCCAUUUCCUUCUCCAGGGGAUCUUCCCGAUCCAGGGAUGGAUCCCACAUCUCCGGCGUUGGCAGGUGGGUUCUUUACCACUGAGCCACCAGGAAAGCCCUCCCCUUCAAAUACAUGAGCUAAUAAAUUCUUUUUCUUUCUAAAGACAAUUUGGGAAAGAUUUCCUAAUGCUUACACCUGGCAGAUACCUAACACAAUUGAUACUAUUUGUGAACAAACUGCAGCAAACUAACACCUUUCUUUCCACUGAUGGCUUUCUUCUUAUUUACAAAUUCUUCCUCCUCUAUAACCCAUGGGGUUUUCUGCCUAUCAAACCCACACCUGCUUCUCAUCACUGCCUUUCUGCACGUUUCCUCUUUUCCAUGUAUCCCAAACAUCCAAACUCCCUUUCUUUUCAAAGCUGCCAUCCCCUCUCCAGCCCUGGGGAAUUUUCUGUUUCCAGGAGUGACAAAGACCUAGGACACAAUCGCCCCAUUUCCUUUUUCUUUUCUUUUCUAGAAGGCAGUCACUCGGGACUUUCAGACCUCAGGAAUUGGCUGUCACGCAUCUCGAGGAAACAUUCAUGGAAGCAAAAUUACAAACACAGGAUGCUUUCACGGUUGCAGAAAGCACUUGCUAUUGUUGUCUUUGAGCUGUAGGAUCUAGUUCCUGGCUGGUUCCAAGGUGUCACCCUCAUAUAACGUUGAAAAGCUGGCCUGAAAUGCUUAGCCAAGGAAAUUCAAGCUUGUGUCUCUACUAGGUCUGGGAAUAUUCUGAGUUGCAACCUAAACUUGCUUCCUCAUUUCUGUGGCAGGUAUGAAUUCUUUGGUCUCCUUAGAAGAGGAAAGAAAUUCCUACGUGGUCCCCAGAAAUUAUUUUUGUGGGCUUUGAGCCACCCUGCACCUACUCGAUGGAUAUCCCACUGCCCUUCUAUAAGAGCUCUCCAAAUCUGGUCCUUGUAAAUCCUACCCAGUGUAGGUAAAGCCUGUUGUUAUUCCUCAGCAUUACGUCUCUUCCUUCAUGGGAGGGGUACCCCAGUUCCUUCGGGAAGCCACCUCUUGCUGACUCUUAGUCAUGAGGUUUAGGUGGGAAUGCCCUUUGCUCUACAGGUGGGCUUUAUUAACUUAAACCAAUCAGCAGAGCCCACAUGUGAUGACAGUGAUCAGUUCAGGAUGGGCCCAUAAUCCCAUUAAAGCCAUAGAGACAUGAGGAAACAUUUGCUAAGUUCUCCCUCUAGACCUCAGCCUGGCUAGUGUCAUUUCCUGCAACUUCCUGGAUACCCCCUUGGCCUCAGACCCUGGAAGUCCUUCCUUUCUUUCUUGCCCAAAUCUUUCUGUUCUACUCAACUUGCCCUUGGUGCUUUUUCAAGAUACUAAUGUGUGUGCCUUUCUAACCAAUGUUUGGUUCUUUUACCUCUUGUUCUUGUAUCCCUGUUCUAAACCAGGGAUAGCAAAUAGAUUUCAUCUCGUCUGUCAACUCUGAUCAAUAAGUAUUAGGACUGAGAUCCAAGCUAAGAAAGAUUCUGAGGCUGCCUCUGGCUUCAGCGAGAAAGUCAGCUUCUUACUGGUGAUUGGAAUCGUGAUGUGGGCUGCGUGUGGUAUUAGCAGAGGGGUGUGUAGUCCGUGAGCGUCUCACCUGGUACUCUGAGCUGGGAUCUGCUGGUCCCAUCUCUCCAGAAAGAGAACUUCCUGACCAGGGAUAGAGGAUGGAUCUGGAGUCGUCUGUUUUUGCUCUCUACCAUGUGAGAGACGGAGGAGUCAUAGCUAAACAUCUGCCCCUCACCCACUUCAAUCUCCUGUCAUCAGCUGCCACCAUGACUACAGAACAAAAACAAGGAGGAAAGAGGACGUAAUUCAGUCAUCUGAAAAUGGUAUUCGAGAAGCGCCACUUACUGACUCACCUGGAAAUAAAACGUCUUGACAUUUUGGGAGUCAGGAUGAGCUGCCCAUUCAGAUAAUUUUCUAUAAAUAUCUCCAGGCAUAGCCCUCAAGCCCCUCUUACUUCAUUUCUCCACACUCAAACAACUCACAGAAUAAAUUAUGAUGCCAGGGGAAGAGCCAGAUUUUGUGGAAACCAAAGCUUUGCAAUUUAGAGGGAGGCGGGCUCUUUCUUUAGAGAAGAGAAUUAAAAAUUGUGAACAACUAAACAUGAAGUUUAAUAUUUACAUGAAAUGGGAAAAGGAACUACAGCAAGUCACAAAAUUUUAAAAACUGACAAAUACUACAAAAAUCUAGAAAAAUAAUAAUACCAUCAUUAUUUGAUGGCUUGACACAUCUCUUUAAUAUCCUUCUCUCUAUAUUGAUUGGUGACAUACCUCUGUAAAGUUCUUUUUUAAUUUUAAUAUUAAAGAAAUAUUUAGUUUAUUUAAUAUCCAUUUAUUUAUUUGGCUGAGCUAGGCCUGAGUUCAGAGAAGGCAAUGGCACCCCACUCCAGUACUCUUGCCUGGAAAAUCCCAUGGACGGAGGAGCCUCGUGGGCUGCAAUCCAUGCGGUCGCUAAGAGUCAGACACGACUUCACUUUCACUUUUCACUUUCAUGCAUUGGAGAAGGAAAUGGCAACCCACUCCAGUGUUCUUGCUUGGAGAAUCCCAGGGAUGGGGGAGCCUGGUGGGCUGCCGUCUAAGGGGUCACACAGAGUCAGUCACGGCUGAAGUGACUUAGCAGUAGCAGCAGCAGGCCUGGGUUGCAGCACAUGGGAUCUUCGAUCUCCACUGUGGCAUGCAGGAUGUUUUUGGUUUUGGCAUAUGGGAUAUUUUUUGUUUGUUUGUUUCAGCAUGUGGAUUCUUAGUUGUGGCAUUUGGGAUCUAAUUUCCUGACCAGGGAUUGAAUCCAGGCCCCCUGCAUUGGGAGUGUGGCAUCUUAGCCACUGGACCACCAGGGAAGUCCCUGUACACCUUAUAGCAAGAUUACUCAGUCUUUCUUCUAGCCUGGUUGAAUAAAUAUUUUUAUUGAUAUGAUAGAAAAAGUUUUUCAGCCUCAUAACUGGUUACUGAUAAGUCAUGUAGUUUUUUUAAAUUGUCAAAUUUGGGAGAUCCUACAUCAACUUUCUUUUACAUAUAAGCUGUAAGAAUUCAUACGUAUCUCAAAUUCUCUUGCACAGGGACUAAUGUUCAAUACUUUUUGAACUGAGGACCCUCAUUAACCAGUUUGUCAUUGUUUGGGUAGAUUAUGAUGUCAGUAUGUCAUGCUAGAUCAAGAAGAAACAGAUAUCAAACAAUAUAAAAGCUGAUUCUUUCCUUUUAUUCAAAACUUCUCUCUUCUUUGUGAAUUACUUCCUUGGAUAUAAUUUGAAUAAAAACGGAGGACUUAGAAUUUGCUUCUUAAUGUUGGAAUAAUUUAUACUGAUCUUAUUGCUUAUUUAUGACUCCCCUUCUCUUCCUAUUCCUAUCGAGCUCCCUUCUGCACCCUGCAGGGCCUCAUCACAUGUGCAAACACUACAGUCCAUACAACCAAGCUUUAUCUAUAAACCCCAGCAAACUGCUAUGCCUUGGCUCCCUCUUGGGCCUAGGAGUGUGCAUUCCUAUUCCUAAG
ensembl:lncRNA